UUUCUUCUCCAUUUUCGUUCCCCAUUUUUUUCUUUUUUUGCUUCCCCCCAACUCCCACAUAGGUCGGCCCCCAUAUUUUUCGUUCCCCAUUUUUUUCUUUUUUGCUUUCCCCCAACUCCCACGGUUGGCCCGACCCUCCAUUCUCUCUAUUUCUCUUCUCCUUCCCCCAUUUCCUCCAUUUUCUCCAGACGGUCGGGAUCUCGCAUAGAUUUUUUCUUUCCCAUUUUUUUCUGGGUUUUUCUCCCUCCGAAGACCCACUGCCAGUUUCCUGAGUUCCUUGACUCUCUUCUCUCUUCUUUUCCUUUCAUUUUUCUCUCCACAUUUUUUUUU
rnacentral:lncRNA from 1 species